GAAAUGCGAUAAGUAAUGCGAAUUGCAGAAUUUCCGUGAGUCAUCGAAUCUUUGAACGCACAUUGCGCCCUUUGGCAUUCCGAAGGGCAUGCCUGUUCGAGCGUCAUUAUCCUCCCUCCAAAACCCUGCUUUACCGCGGGCGUUUCGGGUGUUGGACCGCGUUGGACCGCUCGCGGCCAACUGGUCUCAAAGACAAUGACGGGCGUCCAUGGGACCCUCUUCGCACUGAGCUUUCCGGAGCACGCGUCGAGUUGCAAGGUCUUGUGGGCCCGGCCACCUCUAAAUCUAUUUUUUCAGGUUGACCUCGGAUCAGGUAGGAAUACCCGCUGAACUUAA
rnacentral:misc_RNA from 1 species